GAACAUUUCAAACGCUAACAAGAACCACAAAAAUCGCCGAAAAGUGGUGAAAAGAAGAGAAGGAAUGUGCUCUUUUUCAGUAUUUGUACCAUAAUCAUUUAACCUGAAGUGAAUUCGUCCAAUUUUACCACAAAUUGUGCCCAUGUGAUGUGUGACCGUUGCUGCGCCAAAUCAUUUGCUACAUUAUUUUGUGAAGUGGGAGGAAAUAUGUGGGCACAACGGUUUUUGUGCAAUAACGUAAAGGUGCGCCCAAGACCUCAGUUUAUGUAGUAGGAUCAAGUUUUGAGUCUCUCUUUGUGUUGGCUCAAGCAUAGAGGUGGUGGCCAAGGUGGCAAGAGCCUAGGAUAUCCCUCCCUGUGUUAGGACAAUCCGUGAGCCCCAAUUUGGAGGGCCAUCCAACCCAUGAGCCCCUUGUGGUGGCCCAGUUCUGGAGACCCCAAACUGGGAAGCCAAUCCUUAGUGAAGAGGGAUGUCUCUGGCAGAGGCCGGAUUGUGAACCCUUGAUGGCCUAUGAACCCUGGGUGGUCCGUUGAAUCCCAAGCGAGAUGACCCGUAGAAUUGCAGGAUGGCCCAUUGAAUCCUAGGAUGGCCCGUUGAAUCCCUGGAUGGGCUGUUGAAUCCCUGCAUGGGCUGUUGAAUUCCUGGAUGGCUUGUUGAAUCCCUGGAUGGUCCACUGAAGUAUCAAAUAGCCUGUGACCCGUAUAAACUCCUGACCCCCAUAUCUGCUGGAGAUGUUAUUUAUUGAGCACAUGCUUGUGCUCAUCUGAGUUGUACUAUCAAAUUUAUAUGAGCCAGUCUAGUCAGAAUAAUAAAUUCAGUCAUGACACAUGCACAACAA